UACGAAGGGGGCUAGCGUGGUUGGGAAUUCCUGGGCGUAAAGCGCACGUAGGCGGAUUGUUAAGGGAGAGGUGAAAUCCCAGGGCUCAACCCUGGAACUGCCUUUCAUACUGGCAAUCUAGAGUUCAGGAGAGGUGAGUGGAAUUCCGAGUGUAGAGGUGAAAUUCGUAGAUAUUCGGAGGAACACCAGUGGCGAAGGCGGCUCACUGGCCCGAAACUGACGCUGAGGUGCGAAAGCGUGGGGAGCAAACAGG
rnacentral:misc_RNA from 1 species